rnacentral:rRNA from 1 species
AACGAACGCUGGCGGCAUGCCUAACACAUGCAAGUCGAACGAAGCCUUCGGGCUUAGUGGCGCACGGGUGCGUAACGCGUGGGAAUCUGCCCUUGGGUUCGGAAUAACAGUUAGAAAUGACUGCUAAUACCGGAUGAUGUCUUCGGACCAAAGAUUUAUCGCCCAAGGAUGAGCCCGCGUAGGAUUAGGUAGUUGGUGGGGUAAUGGCCCACCAAGCCGACGAUCCUUAGCUGGUCUGAGAGGAUGAUCAGCCACACUGGGUAUGAGACACGGCCCAGACUCCUACGGGAGGCAGCAGUGGGGAAUAUUGGACAAUGGGCGAAAGCCUGAUCCAGCAAUGCCGCGUGAGUGAUGAAGGCCUUAGGGUUGUAAAGCUCUUUUACCAGGGAUGAUAAUGACAGUACCUGGAGAAUAAGCUCCGGCUAACUCCGUGCCAGCAGCCGCGGUAA